UUCUUAUUAAGAGAGGUGGAGGGACAAGGCCCUGCGAAACCUCAGCAACCUUCAGUCUUGCCUAUUAUUGUGCAAAUGCUGAAAAGGUGCUAACUCCAGCUUGUCACAGUGAUCUUUAAAAGGAUUAUGAAUACGACAAGGAAGAUAAGAA
rnacentral:ncRNA from 2 species